rnacentral:rRNA from 1 species
GAUGAACGCUAGCUACAGGCUUAACACAUGCAAGUCGAGGGGAAACGACAUCGAAAGCUUGCUUUUGAUGGGCGUCGACCGGCGCACGGGUGAGUAACGCGUAUCCAACCUGCCCAUCACUUGGGAAUAACCUUGCGAAAGUAAGACUAAUACCCAAUUAUAUCCCACGAAGGCAUCGGAAUGGGAUUAAAGAUUUAUCGGUGAUGGAUGGUGAUGCGUCUGAUUAGCUUGUUGGCGGGGUAACGGCCCACCAAGGCAACGAUCAGUAAGGGUUCUGAGAGGAAGGUCCACGACAAGGGAAGUGGGAAACGGUAGAAACGCCUACGGGAGGGAGCAGUGAGGAAGAUUAGUCAAUGGGAGAGAGCAUGAACCAGCCAAGUAGCGUGCAGGAAGACGGGCGUAGGGGUUGUAAACUGCUUUUAUAAGGGAAUAAAGUGGGUCACGUGUGACUUUUUGCAUGUACCUUAUGAAUAAGGACCGGCUAAUUCCGUG